rnacentral:ncRNA from 1 species
AUAAAACAGAAAAAACAGAAUUAUUAAAAAACAAGGGAAUCGUAUAUCAUCGGAAGCGGUGAGUAAAGAGAACGUCAAGCCCGAAGACGGGAACCCAAUACCGUCAUUAUUAAGCUUCAAGCCCGAAAUUCCCAUGAAAAAGACUGUUCGUAACGGUCCGAGUCAAAGUCGAGAUUCGCUUAGAAAAUUGAAAAAUUAUUUUAAGUCCGAGACUGUUCGUAACGGUCCGAGUCAAAGCCGAGAUUCGCUUAGAAAAUUGAAAAAUUCUUUUAAGUCCGAGACUGUUCAUAACAGUCCGCGUAAAAUCCGAGAUUCCCUAAGAAAAAUGAGACGGCGGUGUGCGUCGAAGGGCAGGUCGCGAGACCGCCUGGAGCCGCCGUCGGUGCAGAUCUUGGUGGUAGUAGCAAAUACUCGAGAGGGGCCCUCGGGGGCUGCCGUGGAGAAGUGUUUCUUGUGAACAGCCGUUGUCCAAGAGUCAGUCGAUCCUAAGCCCGGGGAGAGAUCCUCGUACCACGGGCGAAGGCGUUUUCGAAUCGCCCUUGGGGCGAGAGGGAAUCCGGUUCGUAUUCCGGAACCCGACGCGGAACCACUCCAUAGUGUUCGGGGCUCUUUUGUCUCGUCUGGGUAACCAGAAUGAACUCGAAGAAGCCACCGGGAGAUCUGGGUAGAGUUCUCUUUUCUCUGUGAGCGUUGUACGUCCCUGGAAUCCUCUAUUCGGGCGAUAGGGACGCGAGCGCAAAGAGCACCGCUCGUUGCAGCGGUGUCCGUGAUCCCCACGCGGACCUUGAAAAUUCGAGAGAGGGCCACGCGGAGUCUUCCGGAAUUGAGGUUAUUUUUUAUUUUAUUAGAAUUAACGCCAGUCAGCUUUUACAAAAUUUACAUGGAGUGUACAAGAUACAGAUAAGAUAUAUAAACAUUUUUUUUU